rnacentral:rRNA from 1 species
GACGAACGCUGGCGGCAGGCCUAACACAUGCAAGUCGAACGAGUGGCGGACGGGUGAGUAAUGUCUGGGAAACUGCCUGAUGGAGGGGGAUAACUACUGGAAACGGUAGCUAAUACCGCAUACCAUCAGAUGUGCCCAGAUGGGAUUAGCUUGUUGUUGGGGUAACGGCUCACAAAGGCGACGAUCCCUAGCUGGUCUGAGAGGAUGACCGCCAACACUGGAACGGAGCAACGGUCCAGACUCCUACGGGAGGAAGCAGUGGGGAAUAUUGCACAAUGGGCGAAAGCCUGAUGCAGCCAUGCCGCGUGUAUGAAGAAGGCCUUCGGGUUGUAAAGUACUUUCAGCGGGGAGGCGUUACCCGCAGAAGAAGCACCGGCUAACUCCGUGCCAGCAGCCGCGGUAAUUC